rnacentral:rRNA from 1 species
UCCGGGGGGAGCAAGCGUUGUUCGGAUUUACUGGGCGUAAAGGGCGCGUAGGCGGUCGUGACAAGUCACUUGUGAAAUCUCCGGGCUUAACCCGGAGCGGUCAAGUGAUACUGUCGGACUAGAGUACAGAAGGGGCAACUGGAAUUCUCGGUGUAGCGGUGAAAUGCGUAGAUAUCGAGAGGAACACCUGCGGCGAAGGCGGGUUGCUGGGCUGAUACUGACGCUGAGGCGCGAAAGCCAGGGGAGCGAACGGG